rnacentral:rRNA from 1 species
GAUGAACGCUGGCGGCGUGCUUAACACAUUCAAGUCGAACGGUGAGGGAGCUUCGGCUCCUGAUCAGCGGCGGACGGGUGAGUAACGCGUGAGCAAUCUGCCUAUGUGAGGGGGAUAACGUUUGGAAACGAACGCUAAUACCGCAUGAAGCAUUUGAAUUGCAUGGUUUGAAUGCCAAAGAGAUUAUCGCACAUAGAUGAGCUCGCGUCCCAUUAGAUAGUUGGUGAGGUAACGGCCCACCAAGUCGACGAUGGGUAGCCGGACUGAGAGGUUGAACGGCCACAUUGGAACUGAGAAACGGUCCAGACUCCUACGGGAGGCAGCAGUGGGGAAUAUUGGGCAAUGGGCGAAAGCCUGACCCAGCGACGCCGCGUGAGGGAAGAAGGUCUUCGGAUUGUAAACCUUUGUAAGCAGGGAAGAAGAAAGUGACGGUACCUGCAGAGUAAGCCACGGCUAACUACGUGCCAGCAGCCGCAGUAACAC